GACGAACGCUGGCGGCGUGCCUAACACAUGCAAGUCGAACGGAAAGGCCCUGCUUUUGCGGGGUGCUCGAGUGGCGAACGGGUGAGUAACACGUGAGUAACCUGCCCUUGACUUUGGGAUAACUUCAGGAAACUGGGGCUAAUACCGGAUAGGAGCUCCUGCUGCAUGGUGGGGGUUGGAAAGCUUCGGCGGUUGGGGAUGGACUCGCGGCUUACUAGCUUGUUGGUGGGGUAGUGGCUUACCAAGGCUUCGACGGGUAGCCGGCCUGGGAGGGUGACCGGCCUCAUUGCGACUGAGAUACGGCCCAGACUCCUACGGGAGGCAGCAGGCGGGAGUAUUGCACAAUGGGGGGAAGCCUGAUGCGACAGCGCCGCGUGCGGAAUGACGGCCUACGUGUUGUGAACCGCUUUCGCCUGAGACGAAGCGUUAGUGACGGUAAUGAGUAAAGAAGCACCGGCUAACUACGUG
rnacentral:rRNA from 1 species